rnacentral:pre_miRNA from 14 species
UGUGUGUGUGUGUGUGUGUGCGUGUGUGUGUGUGUUAGGACUAAUUUUCAGAUAUCAUACCCCUCUGUGCGUUAGUCACACACACACACACACACACACACACACACA